GACGAACCGUGCGAACGUUAUUCGGAAUCACUGGGCUUAAAGGGCGCGUAGGCGGGCUGUCAAGUCUGGGGUGAAAUCCCACGGCUCAACCGUGGAACUGCCUUAGAUACUGACGGCCUCGAGGAAGGUAGGGGCAUGCGGAACUGUAGGUGGAGCGGUGAAAUGCGUUGAUAUCUACAGGAACUCCGGUGGCGAAAGCGGCGUGCUGGACCUUUUCUGACGCUGAGGCGCGAAAGCUAGGGGAGCAAACGGG
rnacentral:rRNA from 1 species